rnacentral:rRNA from 1 species
CGUAGGGCGCGAGCGUUGUCCGGAUUUAUUGGGCGUAAAGCGCUCGUAGGCGGCUUGUUGCGUCGGCUGUGAAAUCUCGUGGCUUAACUGCGGGCUUGCAGCUGAUACGGGCGGGCUAGAGUUCGGUAGGGGAGACUGGAAUUCCUGGUGUAGCGGUGAAAUGCGCAGAUAUCAGGAGGAACACCGGUGGCGAAGGCGGGUCUCUGGGCCGAUACUGACGCUGAGGAGCGAAAGCGUGGGGAGCAAACAGG